rnacentral:rRNA from 1 species
UACAGAGGAUGCAAGCGUUAUCCGGAAUGAUUGGGCGUAAAGCGUCUGUAGGUGGCUUUUUAAGUCCGCCGUCAAAUCCCAGGGCUCAACUCUGGACAGGCGGUGGAAACUACCAAGCUGGAGUACGGUAGGGGCAGAGGGAAUUUCCGGUGGAGCGGUGAAAUGCGCAGAUAUCGGGAGGAACACCAAUGGCGAAGGCAGCUUGCUGGGACGGUACUGACGCUGAGGCGCGAAAGCGUGGGGAGCAAACAGG